GUAAGUGAACAGCUGGGAAUGCUGCAGGCUGAGCACCCACCUGCCUUGAACCUUUACCCCGUGGCCUCUAGUUCCUGCACAGGGUGGCUGUUUUAGGUCAGAGGGAGGACCAGCCAAGAGUUUCAUCAGGGAGGAGCACAACGCAAAGCAUGCUUUUAAAAAAGGAAUUUGAACAUUACAGCAACUUUGAAAAUGAAAGUCCUUCAUAAACUGCUCUUCCAAGUGUGGUUUGGUAUCUCCUGGGAACUGGCCAGAAAUGCAGAGUCUCAGGCCCCUUCCAGCAUGACCUGCCGAAUGAGAACCUGCAUUUGACUGAAUCCCACUGACUCACAGGCUCCUGAGAGCGAGAAGAGCCAGCUGCAACCCUCCUGUCCACAAGCCCGGCGAAGAUAAUAAUGUCAUCGGUUGUGUGUGCACUUAAGAGCCAUUUAAAAUGUGCACUCUUCUAACCUCUUCCAGUCAUUACCUGCAAUUUUCAGGCCUUGUCUAAAACCAAAAUCCUCAUCAAUGUCAUUCAGCAGGAAGCUAAUAAAGACAUCAUUAUCUUGUCUGUCAGCUGCCCUCUUGCCCCGU
ensembl:lncRNA